GAUGAACGCUGGCGGCGUGCCUAAUACAUGCAAGUCGAGCGAACGGACGAGAAGCUUGCUCCUCUGAUGUUAGCGGCGGACGGGUGAGUAACACGUGGAUAACCUACCUAUAAGACUGGGAUAACUUCGGGAAACCGGAGCUAAUACCGGAUGACAUUUUGAACCGCAUGGUUCAACAGUGAAAGACGGUUUUGCUGUCACUUAUAGAUGGAUCCGCGCUGCAUUAGCUAGUUGGUAAGGUAACGGCUUACCAAGGCAACGAUGCAUAGCCGACCUGAGAGGGUGAUCGGCCACACUGGAACUGAGACACGGUCCAGACUCCUACGGGAGGCAGCAGUAGGGAAUCUUCCGCAAUGGGCGAAAGCCUGACGGAGCAACGCCGCGUGAGUGAUGAAGGUCUUCGGAUCGUAAAACUCUGUUAUUAGGGAAGAACAUAUGUGUAAGUAACUGUGCACAUCUUGACGGUACCUAAUCAGAAAGCCACGGCUAACUACGUG
rnacentral:rRNA from 1 species